ensembl:lncRNA
AGUAUACAGUACAAUCAAAAGUAGUAGAGAAAAGACCCAUAUAACCUACAUCUGUAGGCAACCAAUCUUAAAAUCUGCAGACCCUCUGACACCUCGUCCAUGACUCAUCUGCGUGCUUCUCCAAAAAGGAAAGACAUCCUGUGACACAGCCCAGUGUUAAUGCUCACCAAAACCCCGGCCACUCGGCAACAAUGGGCUGACCUCUGACGGGCCCCUGCACACCACCGUUCUCCAACAGCCACACGAAGGCCUCUUACAGAUGCUCCCCGCACCUCAGCUCCACUAAGUCCGGUACUCGUUGCUUUUGCCCCUUUGAAACCAGAGGCGCCCACCCUUGAGGGCCCCAAGGUGUCUGACGUUUCCUAGAGUCCAGCCCAGUGACCUUGCAGCAUGCGGGCACGAGUCUGCCCUCCCUUCCGGAUGUGUCUGGGUGUUUCCACAUGGUGGCCCCCCGCUUGUUCCUCCACCCCUCCCAGGUAGAAAGCGCUUCGAGAAGCUCGCGUGGACUCCCUGCACUGUCCCACCAUCACCGCUCCCUUGCCCCUCCACGUGGAACCCAUGGGGGCGCUUGUCUGAAGCACAGUCAGAGCGGCAAUGUGGCCACCUGGUCGAUGCUGCCCGUCCUUCCACCCCUGUGAAUGGGUCUUCUCUUUGCCAUGCCUCCCUCUCCCCUGAUUUUGAGAAUUACGAUGUUUGUUUAAGAGUCUUCAAAUCCAUCCUUUGAUUGCUACUCGCUCUGCCUUUUGCCAGGGACGCCCGCUCUCGUUUGGCAAGGCGCCCACACUCUUUGAGGGGGAUCCAGGCCCCAGAAUGGAAUCCGCCGUGCCUCCCCAGUCUUGGUUCCCCUGGCUCUUUUUUUUUUCUUUGGGCUUUUUAGGGCCACACCGAUGGCAAUAUGGAAGCUCCCAGGUCAGGAGUCGAAUUAGAGCUGCAGCUGCCAGCCUACGACACAGCUACAACAAUGCAGGAUCCAAUCCACAUCUGCAGCCUGCACUGCAGCUUGUGGCAACACCAAAUCCUUAACCCACUGAACGAAGCCAGGGAUUGAACCCGCAUCCUCAUGGACACUGGUGUUGGGUUCUUAACCCGCUGAGCCACACUGGGAACUCCAGGAUUUAACAGCUUUUAGGCAGCUAUGAGCAUUGCGUCUGUGGGGUGGGGAGAAAUACAACUGCGGGGAAUGUUGAGCCACACUGACAAAUAAGCCUCGCUGUUGGCAACAGCAGGUUUCCCGUCAAGAGUGGUCACAGUGUAGACACCUGUAUCUGCUCUGAUAAAUGGGUGCUUUCUCAUGAGACCGGCACCACCAGCGCCACUCGGAGAGGCCAGGGCGUGUGGUUUGAGUUGGACAGGUGCGCCCACCUCGCAGACCCACCUGGCUUCCUGUAAGAGCCAGCCACCAGGCAGCCCUCUGUGUCCCAGGCCCACCUUCCUGCCCAAAGGUUUGGGCCUUCAGGACACACAGGCGUUAUGGUCACGGCGAUACCUGGUCCCCCAGGCUCCUGGCUCCUCACGUAAAUGUCCCACGGGCCACCAUGGAAGGCCAGGGUUGUGGAGACAACUUUCCUGAUGACCGCACAGGUCAGCGGGGCUGGGACAAGAGUGCAGGUUGUGACCACAUGGACCAUGGCCCCUAAAGGUGUGAGGGGGUACCGUGCAUUCUCACCAAACAGUUGAGCCCAGGGGGGCACAGAGGGCGUCUCAAUCGGGGGAGACACAAGGGAAAGNNNNNNNNNNNNNNCCGGCCCACCCGGGAUCCAGAGCCUCCUCCAAGGUGACCUGCCGGCCCUCUUCCCAGAGCCACUGCCUUGGGAGAAAAUACAGGUCAUGCACCUGCUGGGUGGCGACAGGGACACAACGAGCAUGAGGAAGCCACUUUAGAGAACACCGGAGUGAUACCAUACAGAGAGGCCAGCUCACCUCCCCAUUUCAGCACAACUGUUAAUAAGAAGUCUUUGGGGUCUUGUGUUUUGUUUUAGGGCCAUACCUGCGGCAUAUGGGAGUUCCCAGGUGAGGGGCGGAUCAGAGCUGGAGCUGCCGGCCUACACCACAGCCACAUCAAUGCAGGAUCCAAGCCGCGUCUGUGACCUCCACCACAGCUCCAGCAACAGCGGAUCCCUAGCCCACUGAGCGAGGUCAGGGAUCGAACCCACAUCCUCCUGGACACUCGUCAGGUUCCUUACUGCUGAGCCACAAUGGGAACUCCAAGUCUUUUGUCUUUUAAACACAACUCUCUGCCUGAUAAAAACCAGCGUCUCCUGGGCCUGGGAAAGCGUGCUUGUGGCUCAACCACCUCUUCUCGUCUGAAGACUCACUUUCCCGCUCGGCUUCCAUCGGCCCUCAAGAGCACGGCUCCCAGAGAUUUCAAGGCAAAGAACUGCUCUGAUCCUUAUGACGCCCUUGCCAGAGUCCCCACCAGCAAAUACUUGGUGAUAUACCCAUCAUGCGCGGUGAACCAACCACACUCCAAGACCACAAGACAGAGGGGACGAGUUGUGAGUUCCUGCAGCUCCUGGCAGAUGAGGAGGGAGUGAGUCCAUGCCUUGAGAGCUGAGACGUGCACCACGGUCCUACCGGGGCUACUUCCAUUUAAAUAGAGUAAAACUAAAUUAAACGCAGAUUUCGGAGUUCCCAGUGUGACACAAUGGGAUCAGCGGUGUCUUGGGAUCGCUGGGUCACAGGUUUGAUC